rnacentral:lncRNA from 1 species
UAUGAUGUUCUUUGGAGCUCUUGUUUGCAAGGUGAUGAGUGUGAAAAUAUGUAUUACAGAAAUGGAGAUGGGAGGAGGGAGUGUGUUUGGGAAGAAGGUGGCAGAGAACACGGAAAGGGAUGAAACCCAAGCGUGAGGUUGGAGAGAGGCCCAGAGAGAGAGUAUCAGUGGGAAAAGAGGAGCGCUGAGAUUCCCUCUGGACUUGACAGCUCUGCUUCUGUUCCAGCCCCAGCUGAGGAAAAGGCUGCUACCCAACCACAUUAACUGAACUCUGAGAUUUUCCCACAAAGAAUCCUGAGGUGUUAAGUCAAGAUCUUCCUACGACCCUCAAAUUCCUAUGCAGGAGGACUAUAAACUUCUGGCCUAUAACACAAUGAAGAAAUAUAUGCAUAAAAGUAAACAGGUGGAGAACAAGAUAAAGUGUGACAACAUCAGCAACAUCCAAGUCAGCUGUGACUAUUCAAAACUGGAAGGAUCAAGUUCCAAAGUCCAGGCCGGGCGCAGUGGCUCACACCUGUAAUCUCAGCACUUUGGGAGGCCAAGGCGGGC